AGCAGCCGCGGUAAUUCCAGCUCCAAUAGCGUAUAUUAAAGUUGUUGCAGUUAAAAAGCUCGUAGUUGAAUUUCGGGAUUGACGUGAUGGUCAUGCCUUAAGGGGUAUGAACUGUUACUGUUGAUUUCUCACCUUCUGGAGAAACUUGAUGUCCUUUAUUGGGUGUCUUGCGGAUCCAGGACCUUUACCUUGAAAAAUUAGAGUGUUUAAAGCAGGCAUUUUUGCUCGAAUACAUUAGCAUGGAAUAAUAGAAUAGGACGGCAUGGUUCUAUUUUGUUGGUUUCUAGGAUCACCGUAAUGAUUAAUAGGGAUAGUUGGGGGCAUUAGUAUUCAAUUGUCAGAGGUGUAAUUCUUGGAUUUUAUUGAAGACUAACUACUGCGAAAGCAUUUGCCAAGGAUGUUUUCAUUAAUCAAGAACGAAAGUUAGGGGAUCGAAGACGAUCAGAUACC
rnacentral:rRNA from 1 species